rnacentral:misc_RNA from 1 species
AGCAGCCGCGGUAAUUCCAGCUCCAAUAGCGUAUAUUAAAGUUGUUGCAGUUAAAAAGCUCGUAGUUGAAUUUCGGGGUUAGUAGGUUGGUCAUGCCUCUGGUAUGUACUGGUCUCACUGAUUCCUCCUUCCUGAUGAACCUUAAUGCCAUUAAUUUGGUGUUUUGGGGAAUUUGGACUGUUACUUUGAAAAAAUUAGAGUGUUUAAAGCAGGCAUUUUUGCUUGAAUACAUUAGCAUGGAAUAAUAAAAUAGGACGGCAUGGUUCUAUUUUGUUGGUUUCUAGGACCACCGUAAUGAUUAAUAGGGAUAGUUGGGGGGCAUUAGUAUUCAAUUGUCAGAGGUGAAAUUCUUGGAUUUAUUGAAGACUAACUACUGCGAAAGCAUUUGCCAAGGAUGUUUUCAUUAAUCAAGAACGAAAGUUAGGGGAUCGAAGACGAUCAGAUACCGUCGUAGUCUUAACCAUAAACUAUGCCGACUAGGAAUCAGACGAUGUUAAUUUUUUUAAUGACUCG